UGUACCUAUCAAUCAAAAACAUAGAAAAUAAUAAAUUGCUAUCACGCCGUUUACGAGUUACCACGUAUGUAACUUUGUAGGUAAUUAUUCUCUGUGUUUUUUAAUGUAUGACUGACAAAGUAGACAAUGCUAAUAUAUAUAACUACUAUAUCAUCAUGAUUGUACAAAAUCCUCACCAUAGCUACGCUAUAGGUUACGUCAUCAGCAUGACAAAGAGUUUCCGGAAUUAGUUGUGAACUCUGAGAAUCAUUCAGUAAUGCAGUGAUUAAGCACGAAGCAAUCUAUUUGCAGAACUAGUUGUCGGAAAAUGUGUUGCAGUUAAUACAGUAUACCAGUUGGUUUAUAUUGAUUAGCACUGUCCUGAACGGCAGAGGUCUAUGAGAAAAAAAUAAAACUUUAAACUGUUUUGAAGUGUAUGAGUCAGCCACCAUUAGCUCUAUAUUUAAGAAUUGUUCAGAUUUUAUAAGACUAAGAAGUCUUAUACUGCUAACAGAAAACGCAGAAAGGAACAGCCAAAUUUAAAAGUUACACCACAGUAUCUGUAGGUAUAGGCACGUCUAUAGGCAAGUGUCUUAUAUUAAAAAUGCAACAAGGUAUAUAGAAAACAUAGACUGAUACAUAGUCACUCCCUUUUUUAACCAAAUACCAACCUGUUUCGAUUAAGGUGGCAACUAAUUUCUAUAAAAUGCACCUAGAAACGCCUACGUAUUAGAUUUAAGCCAAGCUUUUGUUAUACAUGGCAACAACGUUAGCAAACACAUCUGGAUUAUUAGGAUCAGUGAGUAGCCAUGUGAACUCAAGUGAUAAUCACACUCAAAAUCAAGCACUAUAUUGCGGAUAUGUCGUAUUUAACGUGCUGUCACCAACUCAAAUAUGACUCACUACGUUAAAGGGCAUCAUGGGACAACGGGUUCAGGUCUCACCAAUAGAGAAAUACUUCUGUUAUCAUUUGCAAGUCUCACUGUGUUUAUUAUUCUUGUAUUUUAUUCCUUGUACCGCUGGAACAAGAAAAAUAUAUCUACAAAAAGUACUUUCAAGUCCGGUUUGCUCAUGAGACGAAAUCACAGCAUGGAGUUCUUUGCAGAGUCGAUUGCGGCGAGUACUGUUACUGGCGUCGUGGUACCUGGCGUCUUAGGGUUCGACGGUACGAUGUUCGAAACUCAUACCAACCCGGACUUCCUGCCACCGUAACUUUUUCAUGUUUUUCUUCAACCAAAUGGUUCUUGGCAACUUUUGGCUUCAUACGUUUAAAUUUGUCGUGUAUUGCAAACACAAUCAUGGCGUCGGUGGCAAUGGUUUGCGCGCGUUUAUUUAGCCCAGAGGAUAGGGGUCCCUUAGGUAUAGUUCCUUAGGGUUGUCUAAAUUGUUAAACUUUAAAAAAUCCUAAUAAAAUUCCAACAUGGUAACUCGUGAGGGGCACGAGGUGUUUGAAACAGAACACCCGUGUUAUUUCAACCAUGGUCGCUGUCAUGCACGCGUGGAUGAAUAAGUUACGUUCAACUUACCACGACGCAUUCGACGUUUCGACGCCAUGCUUCUCACUCUUAACACUGCGUACCUCAUUGUCAGACCUUUAAAGCUAAUUUAAAGUGCCAUAUUUUCACUUUAUAAAACUUUUAAACACUUUUUGUAGGUUAUACAUGUACUUUUAACUAUUGCAUUUAAAUUUCGCACCGAAUUCUUUGUGUUUAGGUUGCAUGUACUUUUAAUCUUCCUUUUAAAUUUCCCGCCGAACUCUUUGUCCUGCUUGAAGGCGCUGCAGCGUAAUUAUAAUUAUUGCAUUGCGCGCACAGCUAAAGCUUGAGGCUGUGUUUUAUACAAAGUUACUUGCUUUAACACCUCGUGUCUGUUUCUGAACAGUUGUUGCUAGUUUCACAAUGGCAAUAGAUAGUUAUAUAGCACUGUGAGCUAUUACAUUAAGAUUUUUAGGAAGUUUUGGUUAGCAAUUGCGCUUAAAUACUGCAAUAAGCUAUGAUUGUGCAGUCAGUGUAUCGUCGUUUAGUUACAGAGUACAUAAAAAUAUGUCAUUAAAGUCUUCAGUUCAAAGACAGAAGACGAUAACGUAUGAAGAAUCUAUUACCUGACGUCAUUUCCUCCGUGAGCAAAACUAGCGAAGCAAGCCGUGAGAACUUGUAGGCUGCUGAAGAGCUGACGGACAGGAAUCGGAUCAUCUUUUUCUGCGUCGUCUUCUGGUGUGUCCUCAGCGACGGAUGUUGAAUCCUCCUAAAUAUUAACCUCAGCGAGCCUCAUGCGCCCUGUCGGUCACGGUUUCUGCUCGGACUUACCUGAUUUCUUCUUCACUCUUGGCACAAUAAUAAAGAGAGUAGCGAUCGCUAUCAAGAGCAUCCCUCCCCCAGACACCAACGCUACGCCCCACA